UUCAAUCUGGCAACCAGCGAAAAAGUUUCAAAGUAAUCAACUCUGUAAGUUUGGGUGUAUCCUUUGGCAACAAGACGGGCUUUCAUCGCUCAACAAAACCAUCAGAAUGAUACUUAAUAGUAUAAACCCACUGACACUUCACCAGGUCCUUACCAGGAGGUAAAUCCACCAAGCUCCAUGUAUUACGAGUCAA